UGGGGAAUAUUGGACAAUGGGCGGAAGCCUGAUCCAGCAACGCCGCGUGAGGGAUGACGGCCUUCGGGUUGUAAACCUCUUUCAGUACCGACGAAGCGAAAGUGACGGUAGGUACAGAAGAAGGACCGGCCAACUACGUGCCAGCAGCCGCGGUAAUACGUAGGGUCCGAGCGUUGUCCGGAAUUAUUGGGCGUAAAGGGCUCGUAGGCGGUUUGUCGCGUCGGGAGUGAAAACAGCGGGCUUAACUCGUUGCUUGCUUUCGAUACGGGCAGACUAGAGGUAUGCAGGGGAGAAUGGAAUUCCUGGUGUAGCGGUGAAAUGCGCAGAUAUCAGGAGGAACACCGGUGGCGAAGGCGGUUCUCUGGGCAUUACCUGACGCUGAGGAGCGAAAGUGUGGGGAGCGAACAGGAUUAGAUACCCUGGUAGUCCACACCGUAAACGUUGGGCGCUAGGUGUGGGGUCCUUUCCACGGAUUCCGUGCCGUAGCUAACGCAUUAAGCGCCCCGCCUGGGGAGUACGGCCGCAAGGCUAAAACUCAAAUGAAUUGACGGGGUCAUAGCUGUUUCCU
rnacentral:rRNA from 1 species